rnacentral:rRNA from 1 species
AGUAAAGUGGCGUACGGGUGAGUAACACGUGGGUGAUCUACCUUCUGGUGGGGAAUAACACUGGGAAACCGGGGCUAAUACCGCAUAAUAUCGAGAGAUCAAAGGAGCAAUUCGCUUAAGGAGGGGGUCGCGGCUGAUUAGCUAGUUGGUGAGGUAAUGGCUCACCAAGGCUAUGAUCAGUAUCCGGCCUGAGAGGGCGCACGGACACACUGGAACUGAAACACGGUCCAG